rnacentral:rRNA from 1 species
GACGAACGCUGGCGGCGUGCCUAAUACAUGCAAGUCGAACGAGAGCGACCGGUGCUUGCACUGGUCAAUCUAGUGGCGAACGGGUGAGUAACACGUGGGUAACCUGCCCAUCAGAGGGGGAUAACAUCCGGAAACGGAUGCUAAAACCGCAUAGGUCUUCGAACCGCAUGGUUUGAAGAGGAAAAGAGGCGCAAGCUUCUGCUGAUGGAUGGACCCGCGGUGCAUUAGCUAGUCGGUGAGGUAACGGCUCACCAAGGCCGUGAUGCAUAGCCGACCUGAGAGGGUGAUCGGCCACAUUGGGACUGAGACACGGCCCAAACUCCUACGGGAGGCAGCAGUAGGGAAUCUUCCGCAAUGGACGCAAGUCUGACGGAGCAACGCCGCGUGAGUGAAGAAGGUUUUCGGAUCGUAAAACUCUGUUGUUAGAGAAGAACAAGUGCUAGAGUAACUGUUAGCGCCUUGACGGUAUCUAACCAGAAAGCCACGGCUAACUACGUG